rnacentral:rRNA from 1 species
AGCCCAUUAGCUAGCUCGUAAACCAAAGUUCAACAACCCCCCAUUAAUAAACCCCGACUAACCUAUUUAGCACCUUAGCCAAACCAUUCUACCCCCCUAGUAUGGGCGACAGAAAAGGUCAAAUCGAAGCGACAGAGACAGUACCGUAAGGGAACGCUGAAAGAGAAGUGAAAAAACCCAGUAAAGCCCCAAGAAGCAGAGUUAGACCCUCGUACCUUUUGCAUCAUGAUUUAGCAAGAAAACAUCAAGCGAAAAGAAUUUUAGUUUGAUACCCCGAAACCAAGUGAGCUACUCCAAGGCAGCCUAUAAGGGCACACCCGUCUCUGUGGCAAAAGAGUGGGAAGACCUUUGAGUAGAGGUGACAGACCUACCGAACUUGGUUAUAGCUGGUUGCCCAGGAAACGAAUAGAAGUUCAGCCUUUUGUACUCUCCCCGCACAAAUCAAUUUCACUCGGAAACGCCCGAGAGCACAAAAGAGUUAGUCAAAGGGGGUACAGCCCCUUUGAAAAAGAUACAACUUUCCUAGCAGGGUUAAGAUCAUAACUAUCGCUAGGGGAAUGUGUCCUAGUUGGCCUAAGAGCAGCCACCCAAAUAGAAAGCGUUAAAGCUCAAUCACUUCCUCACCCCUUAUAUACGGAUCACACAAUCUUACCCCCCUAAACUUACUGAGCCUUCCCAUAGCCCUAUGGGAGAGACUAUGCUAAAAUGAGUAAUAAGAGACCUUGAAUCUCUCCUUUCACAAGUGUAUAUCGGAACGAACCCUCACCGAACAUUAACGGCCCCAAUAGUAGAGGGCACUGAAACACAUGGCUAAACCACUAGAAAACCAUCCACCCCCCCCCCCCCGUUAACCUUACACUAGAGUGUAUAAAAGGAGGACUAAAAGAAAAAGAAGGAACUCGGCA